ACAGAGGCUGGGAAGGAAUUCUUUCAACCGGCAGCCACACGUCAGCGAUUCCAGAGUCUGUCUAGCUCUUUCUGCCAGCACCUCCUGCCUAAGAAGAAGGGCAGAAGGACUGAAAUGUGCAGAAGACAGAGCUUAAAGAAAAUAACAUUUGUGGUAAAAAUCUAAAAUGACAUCUUAAUGGCACAAACCGAUCCAUAACAGAACUAUAAUGUGAUGAGCCCAGGACAGAGUAAGAAGACAGACACAGGGAUCUGUCUCACUCGAUCCUCCUCACGUCCAUCACAGUGCCAAUGCACAGGCAACCAAUAACUACUUGUCUCAAGAAUAAACCAGUCAAGGGAUAAACCAAUCAAUAAAUCCAUGAAUGGAGAGGAAAACAGAGGAACCAACAAUUUGUGCUUUUCACUAACUGAAAACAAGGCUUAAUUUGAUGUUCUGUAAAAUACAUGUAUUGAGGAUAAAAAGAAGCAAGAUCUCCUCUACAGCCCCAUCUUCACCAUUAAUGAAAACACUUCUGCUUUGACCAUGCACUUUCCAAAAUGACAUCUCUCCAAACUAACAAGGGACACAUCUAUCUCUCUGCUCCCCGCCCCCCAAAAAGGCACCAGAAAUCACGUACGUUUCCGAAUGCUGUCUUUAUCAAAAUUAGAUUCUCAUUUCUUUAACUUGCAUUAUCUGCCUCAAAUGGCACUCAUGUCGCAGAAUCAAAGACUUCUUCGCUCUUGGACAACAAUCUUAAGAUGAAGUGGGAGGAUCACAACGUUUGGUCCAAAUAAUAAUAACGCAACUAUUUCAACAAGAGAAAUUUUUCAAAGGGCAGACUGUGGGUUCGUUUUCCUUGAUUUCUCCUCCAGAGCACCAAGCCCAGUGAUUCACACGUGGGCGCUCCAUUUAUGUUUGGGCAUGAUUAUGAUGGUGGUUCCUCACCUUUUUCUUCCUGUGGCAUGCUUUCGAAUAGUGGAAGUUUGUUGAUCUAUUUGAAGGCAUUACAAACAUGAAGUGACUUGAAACAAGUCAACAAUAACUACAGAGUAAUCAGUACUACCAUUAUAAUAAUAUCUUUCAGUAUUUGUGCAAGCAUCUUAUGGCCUUGAAGGUGUUCUAUUAAAAGUUCAUUGAGCAAAA